rnacentral:rRNA from 1 species
AGUGAACGCUGGCGGUAGGCCUAACACAUGCAAGUCGAACGGCAGCACAGUAAGAGCUUGCUCUUACGGGUGGCGAGUGGCGGACGGGUGAGGAAUACAUCGGAAUCUACUUUUUCGUGGGGGAUAACGUAGGGAAACUUACGCUAAUACCGCAUACGACCCACGGGUGAAAGCAGGGGAUCUUCGGACCUUGCGCGAUUGAAUGAGCCGAUGUCGGAUUAGCUAGUUGGCGGGGUAAAGGCCCACCAAGGCGACGAUCCGUAGCUGGUCUGAGAGGAUGAUCAGCCACACUGGAACUGAGACACGGUCCAGACUCCUACGGGAGGCAGCAGUGGGGAAUAUUGGACAAUGGGCGCAAGCCUGAUCCAGCCAUACCGCGUGGGUGAAGAAGGCCUUCGGGUUGUAAAGCCCUUUUGUUGGGAAAGAAAAGCAGCAGGUUAAUACCCCGCUGUCCUGACGGUACCCAAAGAAUAAGCACCGGCUAACUUCGUG